rnacentral:rRNA from 1 species
CGGCAGCGGCAGACGGGUGAGUAACGCGUGGGAACGUACCUUUUGGUUCGGAACAACCCAGGGAAACUUGGGCUAAUACCGGAUAAGCCCUUACGGGGAAAGAUUUAUCGCCGAAAGAUCGGCCCGCGUCUGAUUAGCUUGUUGGUGAGGUAACGGCUCACCAAGGCGACGAUCAGUAGCUGGUCUGAGAGGAUGAUCAGCCACAUUGGGACUGAGACACGGCCCAAACUUCUACGGGAGGCAGCAGUGGGGAAUAUUGGACAAUGGGCGCAAGCCUGAUCCAGCCAUGCCGCGUGAGUGAUGAAGGCCCUAGGGUUGUAAAGCUCUUUUGUGCGGGAAGAUAAUGACGGUACCGCAAGAAUAAGCCCCGGCUAACUUCGUGCCAGCAGCCGCGGUAAUACGAAGUUGGCUAGCGUUGCUCGGAAUCACUGCGCGUAAAGGGUGCGUAGGCGGGUCUUUAAGUCAGAGGUGAAAGCCUGGAGCUCAACUCCAGAACUGCCUUUGAUACUGAGGAUCUUGAGUUCGGGAGAGGUGAGUGGAACUGCGAGUGUAGAGGUGAAAUUCGUAGAUAUUCGCAAGAACACCAGUGGCGAAGGCGGCUCACUGGCCCGAUACUGACGCUGAGGCACGAAAGCGUGGGGAGCAAACAG